GGGCGCAGCAGGCGCGAAACCUUUACACUGCACGAAGGUGCGAUAAGGGGACUCCGAGUGCGAGGGCAUACAGUCCUCGCUAUUGUGUACCGUAGGGUGGUACACGACCAAGAGCUGGGCAAGACCGGUGCCAGCCGCCGCGGUAAUACCGGCAGCUCGAGUGAUGGCCGAUUUUAUUGGGCCUAAAGCGUCCGUAGCUGGCCCUGCAAGUCCGUCGGGAAAUCCACUCGCCUAACGAGUGGGCGUCCGGCGGAAACUACAGGGCUUGGGACCGGAAGACUUGAGGGGUACGUCUGGGGUAGGAGUGAAAUCCUGUAAUCCUGGACGGACCGCCGAUGGCGAAAGCACCUCAAGACGACGGAUCCGACAGUGAGGGACGAAAGCUAGGGUCUCGAACCGGAUUAGAUACCCAGGUAGUCCUAGCCGUAAACGAUGUUCGCUAGAUGUGGCACAGGCUACGUGCCUGUGCUGUGUCGUAGGGAAGCCGAGAAGCGAACCGCCUGGGAAGUACGUCCGCAAGGAUGAAACUUAAAGGAAUUGGCGGGGGAGCACUACAACCGGAGGAGCCUGCGGUUUAAUUGGACUCAACGCCGGACAUCUCACCAGCUCCGACUACGGUGAUGACGAUCAGGUUGACGACCUCGUCACGAUGCUGUAGAGAGGAGGUGCAUGGCCGCCGUCAGCUCGUACCGUGAGGCGUCCUGUUAAGUCAGGCAACGAGCGAGACCCGCGCACCUACUUGCCAGCAGCAGUUUCGACUGGCUGGGUACAGUAUGUGGACUGCCAGGGGCAACCUGGAGGAAGGAACGGGCAACGGUAGGUCAGUAUGCCCCGAAUGAGCUGGGCGACACGCGGGCUACAAUGGUCGAGACAAUGGGUUGCCACCUCGAGAGAGGGCGCUAAUCUCCGAAACUCGAUCGUAGUUCGGAUUGAGGGCUGAAACUCGCCCUCAUGAA
rnacentral:rRNA from 1 species